GAUGAACGCUGGCGGCGUGCUUAACACAUGCAAGUCGAACGAUUAAAGCCCCUUCGGGGGUGUAUAGAGUGGCGAACGGGUGAGUAACACGUGGGGAACCUGCCCUUCUCUCUGGGAUAACCCUCGGAAACGAGAGCUAAUACCGGAUACUCCUUGCGGACCGCAUGGUCUGCUCGGGAAAGCUCCGGCGGAGAUGGAUGGCCCCGCGGCCCAUUAGCUUGUUGGUGAGGUAACGGCUCACCAAGGCGACGAUGGGUAGCCGAGCUGAGAGGCUGAUCGGCCACACUGGGACUGAGACACGGCCCAGACUCCUACGGGAGGCAGCAGUGGGGAAUUUUGCGCAAUGGGCGAAAGCCUGACGCAGCAACGCCGCGUGCGGGAUGAAGGCCUUCGGGUUGUAAACCGCUUUCAGGAGGGACGAACGUGACGGUACCUCCAGAAGAAGCCCCGGCUAACUACGUGCCAGCAGCCGCGGUAAUACGUAGGGGGCAAGCGUUAUCCGGAUUCAUUGGGCGUAAAGAGCGCGUAGGCGGACUGUUAAGUCAGAUGUGAAAACCGGGGGCUCAACCCGCGGCCUGCAUCUGAAACUGGCAGUCUUGAGUCUGGUAGAGGAAAGUGGAAUUCCUGGUGUAGCGGUGAAAUGCGCAGAUAUCAGGAGGAACACCAGUGGCGAAGGCGGCUUUCUGGGCCACGACUGACGCUGAGGCGCGAAAGCUAGGGGAGCGAACAGGAUUAGAUACCCUGGUAGUCCUAGCCGUAAACGAUGGGCACUAGGUGUGGGAGGUCAUCGACUCCUUCCGUGCCGAAGCUAACGCAUUAAGUGCCCCGCCUGGGGAGUACGGCCGCAAGGCUAA
rnacentral:rRNA from 1 species